rnacentral:rRNA from 1 species
AUAGAACGCUGGCGGCAUGCUUUACACAUGCAAGUCGAACGGUAACAGGUUAAGCUGACGAGUGGCGAACGGGUGAGUAAUGCAUCGGAACGUGCCCGGUCGUGGGGGAUAACGCAGCGAAAGCUGCGCUAAUACCGCAUACGAUCUGAGGAUGAAAGCGGGGGACCGUAAGGCCUCGCGCGAUCGGAGCGGCCGAUGUCAGAUUAGGUAGUUGGUGGGGUAAAGGCUCACCAAGCCAACGAUCUGUAGCUGGUCUGAGAGGACGACCAGCCACACUGGGACUGAGACACGGCCCAGACUCCUACGGGAGUCAGCAGUGGGGAAUUUUGGACAAUGGGCGAAAGCCUGAUCCAGCAAUGCCGCGUGCAGGAAGAAGGCCUUCGGGUUGUAAACUGCUUUUGUACGGAGCGAAAAGGUCUCCUCUAAUACAGGGGGCUCAUGACGGUACCGUAAGAAUAAGCACCGGCUAACUACGUGCCAGCCGCCGCAGUAA